rnacentral:rRNA from 1 species
UACGUAGGGUGCAAGCGUUGUCCGGAAGUAUUGGGCGUAAAGAGCUCGUAGGCGGUCUGUCGCGUCGGCUGUGAAAACCCGGGGCUCAACCCCGGGCCUGCAGUCGAUACGGGCAGACUAGAGUGCGGUAGGGGAGACUGGAAUUCCUGGUGUAGCGGUGAAAUGCGCAGAUAUCAGGAGGAACACCGGUGGCGAAGGCGGGUCUCUGGGCCGUAACUGACGCUGAGGAGCGAAAGCGUGGGGAGCGAACAGG